AUGUUCCACUUACAGUUGUCUUUUCCAGGCAGUGCAGCAGGUGGUGGUGUUGGCUUUCUAUCAGAGAUGCUGAUUUGCCAAUGUGAGGCUCUUCUGUGGAUCCCUAAAACAAAAUCCAGAAUUAUGAACACAGGAAGAAAAGCAGCCCUGUAUUUUCUCACUGGGGCACAGGCAAGCAUUGAUCACAGAUCUGAAUGUGUUGGAGUAUGUAAUAUACCAACCUGGAGUGUGAGAUGAACAGUUCAAAGCACUGCAUAUUCAAGAAAUAGUUUUUAAGUAUCAGCCUAUCUCAAUACAGGUAGUAAGAAUGAAGGAGCUCAUUACUACUAUAUCAUUGGCAUUCAAGCAUGAGAACCCUUAAACCAGGCCGUUGUGCCAGAAUUAUACUGCACUCUGACUCUUAUGUAGUUUUAGACACAUUGGGGCUGAUUUAAUAAAAUCAGUUUUAAUUCUAUAUGGCACCAAAGUGGCUAACAAAGGGUUCCCUGGACUGUGGGGAGGUGCUGGGAGCAGAGGGAACUCUGGUACUGGCUACAUGGGGGGAAGGAUUGGUUAAGGGCAUUAAGGGGGGCUGAUAUAAAAGAUGAAGUUGCUUACCCUCCUCAUCUUGCAAAGUCACAUGCACCUGGAGUGCUGUGCAGGCUUGGCAGCGUGUCUGGUCUCCCAUAAUGUUGACCGAUUAUCCCACCCCCUCCCAUUGCAUAUAGUAUACUGUAUUUGCUAUUAAUACAAAAAAAGAGGUUUCAAGGGACUUGUUUCCAUAUGUCAAAGUUAUGAUAUAUGUAAUACUAUUAGAAGUUUUGUCACAGCUGCUUGUGGGUAAUUCUUUUUUUGGUCCUUGCCAUUUGGGUAUAGUCAAUAGGUUUCUCUGGCAUAAUGGGUAACCUACUGUAUGUGUGGGAUAACAUAGCAAGGACUGGUUGUCAGUUUUUGCUAAUGGUUUUAAUAAAAGCUGUGGCCGACCUCC